CCACUGUUUUUGAUAGUCUUUAUCUCGGUUGAUAAAGAAACUUAAGUCCUACUUUAGAUUGUUUUUUUUAACAAUGUUAUCUACAACUACCUCAAAUAUAAAUUUCACAAUAUAUUUGCUAGUUAUUUGUUACCAGGCUAGCAAAUUAUAGUGGAAAAAGAAAUAAUCCGUACGUUAAUCAUAGAGUGAAUCACCGAACAAAAGCCCCACAUUUCCAACGAUUACAGCUGCAUGCAACGCAGCGUGAACGACGUGGAACGUUCGAGAAAUUGCGUCGUAGUUCCAGCUACGAAACGGCAACGCCGCACCGCCCUGCCUCGUCGCAGACGGAGGCAACGCCAUCGGUGCUUGCGUGAGCGCAAGUGAGACGGUGCGAUGCGGCAGAUGUGCUACGUGAUCGAUAGAGUGCCAUUUCGGGACCCUUCCACGCCGUUCCAGAUCGUCGAGGGGGGGCAGCCUAUAAAUACGAUCUCCGCCCGAAGCACUGACGUAGUUCGUUGUGGUGAAUCGUCCAGAGCAAGUGUGUGUGAUGGUCCGAAGACGGCGUCCCAAGUACCAACAUAUGGACGGGUGGUAGAUUGUUCUGAUCUCUGGACAUAUUCAACAAUUGCUGUAUAUUUCAACGGUUUUCCCAAUAUGGCGUCUCUAAUAGGCGCGGCCAUGACAGUAUAAUCGAUUUAACGAGAAUUUAGACGUCGAGAAGCGCUUAAAAUAACGCAAGGUCGUACGAGUCGACGCUGGCGUACGAAGUCAGCCAUAUUAAAAUCGAGAACGUUACGAAAAAGGGCGGUUUUUGUCGGACUGUUCUGUGGAGAUAAACCGUUGGUCGUUUACCUGCUACCCGAAUACUGGUGUUAUUUGGACUAAACGAUUACACAAUUUAUUGUUGAUACAACUCUAGACACUUUGAUUGAUUGAUUUUAUUAAAUCUUAUAGAUAUACAUUUUUUUUAUAAUAAUUGUACUUGAUGUUUUUGAUAUAUAUAUAUAUAUAUUUAUGACUAACCAUUUUUAGAUCUUAUUAUUGAAUACAGAACUUAUCGUUAUCUAUCUAUUGGCGUUUGUAUCAAGAUACAUUUGAAUAAUCAAUAAAUAUAUUUUACAGUAUAUUACAACUAUAUUUAAUACGUUAAUUUUUCCAUAUUCUCCCCAUUUUUCAAAAAAAAAAAAACAAUUACAGAAAAAACAAAUUACAAAAAAUUGAAACUCUUGAAGAGUUCUCAUUUUUUUAUUUGGACAUCCCCACACAAUAUAAAGUAAGUACAUAAUAAUUAAGUUCCUUUUGUUUCUUAAAAUGAAGGUUUACAUUUCUUGUUUUUGUUAAGGGUUCAUAUUGUACUAACACCACGUUUAUUUUUAUAUAUAAAAAAUAUAUAUACAAAAAACAAAACCUUUGUACUGUAGCAUGCUUAUAUUUUAGCUGUUUUAUGCUUAUUUAUGCAACAAAAUAAUGCGAAGUUAGAAAUUUCAUUUUUCAUUACUACCUUUUUAAUCAGGCACCAGUAUUAUUUGACGAAAAUUACCGAGAAAACAGAAUAGGACUGAAUUUCACGAUAGGUAUGUAACACAUUUACAAAGUAAAACCCAUUGGUGAAGCCAAACUUCAGACCUACACUGUUUAAUUUUUGUGUUCGAAGUAAUAUAUUUUAAGUUGUACAAUUUAAAUUAAAUGACGUCUUGCUAUAUAUAUAUAACUAUAAAUCUUGGCGAAUUUUAUUGUAUUUUUUUUUGUAGUAUUUUCCCCUCUUAAGUUGUACAAUUUAAACAACGAAACUUUGUUAGUCACUAGUUACAGUUUACGAAUUGCGAAAGGGGAGAAUUUUAUAAUUUUCAAGUAGGUAUAACUUGUUCUCGAAAUGUUGCCUAAGGGCAUCACGAUAAUUCUUUGCUUUUUUGGAGAGAAAUUUGCAGCGUAAGUAAAAUUUUUUACAAUUCUAUUAAUUUUAUUGGGCGUGUAUUGCGCGAUUUAUUUAUUUGUAAAUAGGCACGUACGUUGAAUUCGACGGGGUGUUAUUUUUAUUAUUGUUUUCGUUUGUUUUAACUCGAUUGGUUGGUUGAAACAUGGACGUUCAUUUUUAUCGGUGAAAUGUUAUGAACGGUUAUAAAAUAUGGUUUAAUGAUUUUUUUAAUUUUUUAAUUAGGUGGUAAAUAUGAAAAAAUAACGCAGUUUAUACGAUUUAUGUGCGUUAUCUAAUUAAUAAAUUAUAAAUAUUUUCCGACGGAAAAACGAAAAAUGUAACGCAAAAUUGUUCUAGUAGAUUUAAAAAUCACUAGCUGUAAAGAGUUACUGAAAUACAACAACUAUAUUUAAAUAAUAUUUGAAAAGCGGAAACGAACGCUAUCUAGACGUUAUAAAUGUAAUUUUAUUAUAAUUUAGGUACGUAGUUUGUCAAAAAGGUGUUAUAUUAAUUAUAACAGAAAAAGGUAUAAAUAAAAUU